rnacentral:rRNA from 1 species
UUAUUGGGUCUAAAACAUCCGUAGCUUGCUUAUUAAGUUUCUUGUGAAAUUCUACACCUCAAAUGUAGGGCGGGCAAGAAAUACUGAUAAGCUAGGGAUCGGUAGAUGUAAGGAGUACACACAAGGUAGUGGUUAAAUACGUUAAUCUUGAGUGGACUAACAAUUGGCGAAGGCACCUUACAAGGACGAAUCCGACAGUGAGGGAUGAAGGCCAGGGGCGCGAAGAGGAUUAGAUACCCUUGUAGUCCUGGCAGUAAACACUGCUCACUAAACAUCGGUCUCUCUUCGGGAGAAAUCGGUGCUGAAGCGAAGGCGAAGAGUGAGCUACCUGGGAAGUAUAGUCGCAAGGUCGAAACUUAAAGGAAUUGGCGGGGAGACACUACAACGAGUGACGCGUGCGGUUCAAUUAGAUUCCACACCGUGGACCUCACCAGGAGCGACAGCAGAAUGAAGGUCAGUCUGAAGGGCUUACCUGACACGCUGAGCGGAGAUGCAUGGCCGACGUCAGCCUGUGCUGUGAAGUGACCUGUUAAAUCAGGUAACAGGCGAGACCCGCGUGCAUAAUUACUAUCGAAAGAUGUACAUUAUGCAGACUGCCUUGGUAACAAGGAGGAGGGUGCGGGCUACGUUAGGUGAGUACAUCCCUAACCCCCUGGGCUACACGCGCGCGGCAAUGGUAGACUCAAUGAGAUGCAACACCGAAAGGUGAAGCUAAUCCCCUAAUGUCUAUCUCAGUUCAGAUUGAGGUUUGCAACCCAACCUCAUGACGCUGGAAUUCGUAGUAAUCG